CCUACGGGGGGCAGCAGUGGGGAAUAUUGGACAAUGGGGGAAACCCUGAUCCAGCCAUGCCGCGUGAAUGAUGAAGGCCUUCGGGUUGUAAAGUUCUUUUGGAGGGGACGAUGAUGACGGUACCCUCAGAAUAAGCUCCGGCUAACUUCGUGCCAGCAGCCGCGGUAAUACGAAGGGAGCUAGCGUUGUUCGGAAUUACUGGGCGUAAAGGGCGUGUAGGCGGUUUGGUCAGUCAGAUGUGAAAGCCCCGGGCUUAACCCGGGAACUGCGUUUGAUACUGCCAAGCUUGAAUUCGGGAGAGGUGAGUGGAAUUCCCAGUGUAGAGGUGAAAUUCGUAGAUAUUGGGAAGAACACCGGUGGCGAAGGCGGCUCACUGGACCGACAUUGACGCUGAGGCGCGAAAGCGUGGGGAGCAAACAGGAUUAGAUACCCCAGUAGUC
rnacentral:rRNA from 1 species